GAUGAACGCUAGCUACAGGCUUAACACAUGCAAGUCGAGGGGCAGCAUGAUUGAAGCUUGCUUCAAUCGAUGGCGACCGGCGCACGGGUGAGUAACACGUAUCCAACCUGCCGAUAACUCGGGGAUAGCCUUUCGAAAGAAAGAUUAAUACCCGAUAGUAUAGUAUUUCCGCAUGGUUUCACUAUUAAAGAACUUCGGUUAUCGAUGGGGAUGCGUUCCAUUAGAUAGUUGGCGGGGUAACGGCCCACCAAGUCAACGAUGGAUAGGGGUUCUGAGAGGAAGGUCCCCCACAUUGGAACUGAGACACGGUCCAAACUCCUACGGGAGGCAGCAGUGAGGAAUAUUGGUCAAUGGACGAGAGUCUGAACCAGCCAAGUAGCGUGAAGGAUGACUGCCCUAUGGGUUGUAAACUUCUUUUAUACGGGAAUAAAGUGGAGUAUGCAUACUCCUUUGUAUGUACCGUAUGAAUAAGGAUCGGCUAACUUCGUG
rnacentral:rRNA from 1 species